UUGAACGCUGGCGGCAGGCCUAACACAUGCAAGUCGAGCGGGGUUUUCGGACCUAGCGGCGGACGGGUGAGUAAUGCGUAGGAAGCUGCCCGAUAGAGGGGGAUACCAGUUGGAAACGACUGUUAAUACCGCAUAAUGUCUUACGGACCAAAGUGUGGGACCUUCGGGCCACAUGCUAUCGGAUGCGCCUACGUGGGAUUAGCUAGUUGGUGAGGUAAUUGGCUCACCAAGGCGACGAUCUCUAGCUGGUUUGAGAGGAUGAUCAGCCACACUGGAACUGAGACACGGUCCAGACUCCUACGGGAGGCAGCAGUGGGGAAUAUUGGACAAUGGGCGCAAGCCUGAUCCAGCCAUGCCGCGUGUGUGAAGAAGGCCUUCGGGUUGUAAAGCACUUUCAGCGAGGAGGAAGGGUGGUGUGUUAAUAGCACAUCAUCUUGACGUUACUCGCAGAAGAAGCACCGGCUAACUCUGUG
rnacentral:rRNA from 1 species